GAGGAAAAGAUCUGAUAGCUUCAUUCAACACAUCUAGAGUGAUGUAUUUCGUUGCCAUCAGGUUUUUGAGGCAAAGAGACAACUCCAGUAGGACUAUUCCCUCAAAGACAUCAUGCAAUAUGUCAGGAGCAUAACCACCAACGACAUGAAAAUAUUCCAAAUUUGCUGUGGAAGACAUCCAUUUUUUCCACAUGAUUUGGACAAUAUGUCAUUCUCUUCCACAGUCUCAACACCUCUUUCACAACUGACUCAUCUACAUGUCCAAAGUGUUUCUUAAGAACUGCCUUCACAUUAUUUUGCAAAAGUGGCUGGGACAACUGAACUAUUUGGGAUUGCUUGCAGAUAACUGUCCUUCUCCAUCAUGCACAAGGACUCACCUCUUUAACUCUUUAUCGCCC
ensembl:lncRNA